rnacentral:tRNA from 1 species
UCCCUGGUAGCUCAGAGGUUAAAGCAUCUGCCUGCAAUGCGGGAGACCUGGGUUUGAUCCCUGGGUUGGGAA